rnacentral:tRNA from 1 species
ACUUAUAUAGUUUAAACUAAACCAUUAUAUUUUCAGUAUAAAAUUAUUAAUAAUAAAAUAAAUUAAUUAUAAGUA